CUGUCACUGAGUGACCUCUCCAGCUUGAAUACUGUGUUUAGCUCCUGAAAUAUCAGCCUCUACUCCUGGAGGCUAAAGGCCAGGACCUUUAAUCUGCACAAUGCUGAGGCUAGUCAGACAAGGAAACUGAAGCAGCUCUAUAGGUGGCUUAAUUGAAUAGUUUAGGAGGAGGAACUUGGGCCCAGAUAUGACAUGAAUUAGAAAAGUUUCUUUUCUGAGUCUCCCUUAGGGAGACACUUGCUGAAAUAACCAUUGAACUGCUUCAUUUUCUCGCUAAGCUAAAAGGCUUUAAGAAUCGUCAAGCCUAAGACAGUUCCAUGUUUACUCUCCACUCUUCCACAAAGUACACUGAAUGAGAUUAGUUGACUAGGUAUCAGACACUGCCUCAAAGGGUAUAUUUACAAGUGGCCUCAUUAGUCCAUAAUGCUACCAUAAUAAAGGCCUGGAAAGUGUUCAAGACUGUAUUUAAAACGUAAAUUUCUUACCCAGUAAUAGCCAUUUUUAGAAAGCAGAAAUAGUUCAAAGUAAUUAACUUGAAUAUAGAACAUUUGCAAGAAAAUGGAUAGAAGUUGACUGAAUAUGUGGGCCUUUUAAAAGUUAUAAAUAAUAUUUGUAAGUGGCAUUAUCAAAUGUAAAUGACCAAGUAACAAAUACAGAUAAGCACCCAGACAGCCUGUGUAUGAGCAACUAGAAUUAAUAGCCUGGCCUUUCUUCCUGUAUGCUCAAUUCCUUCAUGAAAUACUAAUAUACAACUUCAGUUCAUGAUUUUUAGGCAGAGGAGUUUCACCAAUGAGUUCCAGGACAUACAUUCUAGACUAUAUACAGCAGUAACGUGCCAAAAAAACAAAAAAAAAACCUUGAAAAAAAAGAAAAGAAAAAGCAAACAAAACCCAAAACCCAUUACAUUUCAUACUUUUUAACAUGUCAAGUUUGUGAUGUCCUCCAGUUUUAUUUGUUAAUUCAAAUUAGGAUGAAAUGAAUAGUUCUUGGAAAGUACUAGGGCAUAAUAUUGAUUUAUGCAUUCAGAGGACUAUAAUGUAGUCAGCAAAUAAAAGAUGUUUAGUCAUUGUAAAAGUUGAAAUAUAAACAAAAUCAUUUUCUUAAGACUAUAUAAUGUUGGUAAUCAAAAAAUUCAUCAUAAACCUAGCUUCACAGUACACAUGGUAAUCUCUUGUCUGUGCAGCAUAGAGACACCUGGACUCAAAACAAUAACAAAUCUGCAUUUAAAAUGGUAACUUUCCAAAACACCAAUUGCUUAUGCUUGGUGUAUUUUUCACUGGACAUGGGAUUUUUUUAUUAGAUUUUUACUAGAAGAAGAUGUCACUGGAAGCAGACUAUUUGGAUUUUCUUUCUAGUCUGUUACCAGUAAACGUAUAGUCUUGGGCAGGUGAUAUUGACCUCUCUGGGCCUCCAUCCUUUAUGUUGAACAGUAAAGACAAAAAUAUGAACAUUAGCAUUGUAUAGUUAUUGUAGGAAUUAGGCGAGAUUAAACUCUCCUAGAGUAGUGUUUGGUAAACUCUCCUUGUUAACUCUGGCUGGAAGUGUAGCUCAAAUCUUAGUAUGCAUGAGGCCUGUAUUCUGUCCUAGCAGCCAGGAGGAAAAGGUUGGAGGAGAGAGGACAAAGGAAGAAGUAAGUUAGUUGUCAUUUUUAUUUUUUAUUGUGUUUUGUAGUGCUAGAGAUCAGACUUGAAAUGUAUUCAUUAAAGACAAGCACACUACCACCAUGCUAAUAACCCCAUUGUCAGGGCAUUAUCAAAUAAAACUCACUUGUUAUUACUAUUAUAAAACAAAUAGUUUUAACAAACCAAACACAGAAAUAUGUCCAACAGAAGCCUCUCCGUUCCAUCCAGUUUCUCAAACACUGACAUUAUCAGUGUUAACUGUUGAUGUAUUCUUUGUUAUUUUGGCUUCUAUAAACUGUACAUAUGUUUGUUCUUGAGUAUGGGAUUUUAAUAUAAAAUUAUAUGUACAAGUACACAUUCAGUAAUAUAUGUUCAAAUUGGUCUUUUUAAUGCCUUAGUAUAUUAUAAUUAUCUAACAGAAAAAAAUAUGAAUUGAAAUUAUCAUUUUAAUGCAAUAUGUUACUUAAUACUGGAAUAUAUCUUAUUCAAUACAAAUACUGUUAUCAUUAGGACUACUAUGCCUAACUAUAAAUAAUUCAUAAUGAAUAUACUUGUUCCAAUACCAGCAAAAAUGAUUUUAUACUGACACUUCUGUUUUAGUGGGAUGAUUUCAGCAGUGGAUUGCUUUCACUAAGACUGGAUAUUUAUACUUUUAAUAGCUAUAAUAAGAUUACUGAAAAGGGCCUAUUUUAUUCCAUAGUUAUAUAUGACAGUACUCAUGUCUCUACAGUUUCACCAACAUUGAUUAUUUCCAGCCUGCCCAGUUACUGGAGCUGGCACAGGUAGAGGCUGGCUGUUGGCUGCUGGCUGCUGGCGAAGACACAGGCAACUUUGCUUUGUGGCCAUGUGCUUUUCCAACACAAGCUACUUGUCUACCUCCUUCUCUCCUCUCUCUCUCCCUCUCUUUCCCCAUCUCCCUUUCCCUCCUUCCCUCCUUUCUUCCCCCUCUUCUUUCUUUCUGUCUCUCUCUCACUAGGAGCUGAAUGGAUAUGUAUUCCAUGAUGCCUUGCGUAUCAUUUGUACUCUUAGUGUCAUUCCCCAUUGUAUUUUCUCUUGUCAUAUAUUCUUUAUGAUUAGAUUUGAACUCUAUUUUUCAUUGGAUAAUACCAGUCCAAAUAAAUAUUUCCAUAGCUAACUAAUACAUAGGGACAGGAUUUUUUUUUCACUCUGGCCCAUGACAAGCAUUCAAUAUGUAUUUAAUGAGUCAGCAACAUUUCAAGAUUUAGCACAUGAUCAAUAUAAAGUAACCACUUGAGGUUUUUUAUUUUUGAAGUUUUCAGUUUUGUUUUGUUUGUUUGUUUGUUUUGCUAUGUAACCUGGGAUGACAUUAAACUGGCCACCCUCCUGGUUCAGCCUUUGGAGUGGUGGGAUUAUAGACAUGUAUGUGCCCUGAGGUGGCAUAAAUUAAAACACUGGCUAAAGGGAGGGCUGAAGGCAUGUGUCCCCGAGGGAACAGUGUUACCACCCAGAUAUAAACAGUGACCCACCCCAGCAGCUGUAGGCAUUGAUUUUUUUUUUUUAAAGGAAGGUUAUAGAUUCUCUGAACUAUCCCAAGGGUACCUAAUAAUAAUAAUAUUCUGGUUAUGUUUCCUUAUUUAUUUUUAUUCAUAAUAUUUUUCUUCCUUACAAAGGACCUGUAAUAUGUCAUGCGAUAGUAACAUAGGGAUUGAAAUAUAAAAUUAGAUCCAAUAUAAAAGAAAAAAUUUGUACAACAAUAGUGUCAACAUAUAUUUUAUCUGGGCUUUAGUUUUGACUCCAAGAUUCCUAGCAGCCAGAGCAAAUAAAGAAAUAUGUUCAUAUUGCCUCAUUGUUUUAAAAGGGGAUGGAAGCUAUGUGCCACUUGUCUCAGAGAGAGCAACCCUUCCUAGCUCCAACAACCAAUAGCAAGUGUAGUGCAUAACCUAUAUGUAUGGAUGUGAACUGUCAUUUUAGGCACUUAAAGUUCUUGAAAGAAUUAAUUAUAUUACAUUUAAAAUUAUGCCGAAUGGAACUUACUGACUCCUUUGUAGAAUUGUAUAGAAAAGGUUUAUGUUUGUUUUGGGAUUAAGAAAGAGGUGGCUCUGUGACUAAGCGCUCUAGCUGCUCUUACAGAAGGCUGGAGUUCAACUCCCAGCACUAUAUGAUGGCUCACAACCAUGGAAUCCAUCACUCUCUUCAGGCCUCAAUGGGCAUUAGACACACAUAGAACUCAGACAUACAUGUAAGCAAAAUAUCUACGUAUAAACAAAAUAAUAAUAAAAAGUUUUAGAGAGUAAUAAUCAGUGAUCAUGUAAGAGUAAUUUUCUUCUACUCUAAUAUAGGGAGAAUUGAAAAUUGAGCAACAAUAUUUGGAAAUUGCAGAAGAUUGAUCAGGAAUAUCUCAUUUCAGGCCAGCUUGGGAUAUGUAGAGAGACUCUGUCUGAACAAACAAGGUGACUCCCAGGUAAAGGUGCCUGCCACUCCACUUGCAGCAUAGCAUAUGUGUACUGCCAACUCCAUGCACAUGAAAUAAAUAACACAAUAAGAAUAAAUCUAUAAUAUGAACCAGCACCAAGGAUACUUCAAGAUCAGCUUGGUAAACUUAAUCUACUUGGUCUACUUCUCAGUCAGUGGCUCUCAAGCUUUGGUUCCAUCAGAAGUUGAACGUGUCUGUGGAGUAUUUGCUUAAUUCAGUUGAAUUUGCUCAAGCCAGUGUAUGCAUCAUUUCUUUUUUAAAAGGAAAAAAAAGCUUAAUGAAAGUAAAAGUCAAAUAAAUCAAGCAAUUUAGUCACUCAUAAGUAUAGUAAAACCAUAAUGUCAUUAAGAGUGAAGGGAGUGUAAGAUGAGUAACAACAAAGGUAGCUAAGAAGACCAGCUCGCUGGAACUCUACUGACUGCUAAGUGUUAGGAAGACCAAUUCACUGGAACUCCGCUGACUUGCUGACUUCACUGUACUUAGAGAUAAUCAAAUAUGAAAUGCAAUUUGAAUAUGUGACACACUGUGUCUGUGUGUCUAGAUGAACAAAUGUUCCUUUUAUGUAUUUUGGGAAGUAUAAAUCUCAUAGGGCUCUUUGCUGACAAGGUAGAAUGUCAAUAAAUUUUAAAUAUUAAUUUUUAAGGGUGAGAAAAUAA